rnacentral:rRNA from 1 species
UUAUUGGGCGUAAAGCGAGCGCAGGCGGUUAGAUAAGUCUGAAGUUAAAGGCUGUGGCUUAACCAUAGUACGCUUUGGAAACUGUUUAACUUGAGUGCAAGAGGGGAGAGUGGAAUUCCAUGUGUAGCGGUGAAAUGCGUAGAUAUAUGGAGGAACACCGGUGGCGAAAGCGGCUCUCUGGCUUGUAACUGACGCUGAGGCUCGAAAGCGUGGGGAGCAAACAGGAUUAGAUACUCUGGUAGUCCACGCCGUAAACGAUGAGUGCUAGGUGUUAGACCCUUUCCGGGGUUUAGUGCCGCAGCUAACGCAUUAAGCACUCCGCCUGGGGAGUACGACCGCAAGGUUGAAACUCAAAGGAAUUGACGGGGGCCCGCACAAGCGGUGGAGCAUGUGGUUUAAUUCGAAGCAACGCGAAGAACCUUACCAGGUCUUGACAUCCCUCUGACCGCUCUAGAGAUAGAGUUUUCCUUCGGGACAGAGGUGACAGGUGGUGCAUGGUUGUCGUCAGCUCGUGUCGUGA